rnacentral:lncRNA from 1 species
GGCGCGCAGCGGCGACGAGCGCCGGCUCGUCAAGGCGCUCCUGGCGGACCCUGCCGCCCCGGACCUCGAGUCGGCCGCCACGGCGGGGGGGAACACGCUCCUCCACGUUGCGGCCGCGGGCGGGCACGCGGACCUCGCGUCGCUCCUCCUCCGCCGCGCCCCGCGCCUCCUCGCCGCGCGCAACGCCGCGCUCGACACCCCGCUCCACCUCGCGGCGCGCGCCGGGGCGCACAAGGUCGUCGCGCUCCUCGUCGCCUCCUCCUCC